CUUUGUCACUUAACUACCUUGAACUACAGUUCCCAGGAGCCCAUGGGCUGAGGGUCAGCGGCUCAAUGCCCUUAUCAGCCAAACACCUUCAGCAGGUUUGCAGCCUGAAGGGUGUGGAGUUGUUUGUGUUGUAGGGUGGGAUGUGAAGCUUUUGUUGUUGGGCUGCUUUGUGCAAGCUUUCACUUGAACUCCGGUGCAACAUGAGGUGAAGGUCUGUGUUGCUUUGCACCCCCUGAGAAUCUGCCAGAGUGUAAGACUUGACAUUAAAAAGGAGCUGGUGCAAAUAUGAAGCUGUGGUUUUUGUCAUUUCUAUCAAGUCUACGGUAGAACUGAUAGUCUGCAUGGGAAAUGCUGACCCGCUGGAGAAGACACCACAGGGCAAAGUUGUGCGUGGGGACUUGUGGGUCUGACUGUGAAUGGGAGAGAGGAAGAGGAGAAGGUCCUGCCUGAAGAGCUCAGCAUGCGUGUUGACCUUAAUACUGGACACAGCAGUGAUUGGAUUACAGCCAGCCACCAUUAGGAGAAGGUGCAAGAGUUACUAUGCGCAGCUUUUUCUGAGCGAAGAAAAUGCCUCCAAGGCAUGGCAGCUGUGAAGCACGGUACAGAAGAGGAAUAGGUCCUUGGUUCAAUUCAAACCCCCCUGAGCUUGAGGCCACAUGCUAUACUGAAGUAUUCAAUUCCGCAUUUGAAUAAACUGAAUAAAUCCAGCCAUACUGCUAAACAUAUGGAGUAUGAGAGUGCAGUGGGGGACAAAUACUACUGGCCUGCAUUGGAAAGAUCAAGAGCUUGAAGAUGUGUUUGGCUGUGCCUCAGGUGUCUCAUUUGGAUCCAGUGCUCCAUUCUUCACCACCUGCCUCCUACCUUAGAGUCUCACCUGAAUCUGAACAUAUGCCAACACCUGGAGAAGUAACUACAGCAGUUUGAGUCUGGACAGAGCAGGAAUUACAGUGACGAGUGACUCAAUAAGGAGGGUUUUCAAAGAGAUGGGAGAGCAGCCAUUGCCGUUUCCACCUUCUGCUGUUCUGUGUGCCAUGAGCUCCAGGAGACAGCAGGGACACAUGUCCCAUGGGGACACCCCUGAGCCUCCAGCCCUGGGGUGCCUGCUUUCAGAAGGUAACUCCAAAAAGGUCAAAAAUGAGUCACUGGAGUUUAUCGGCACAAAGCGCUUCCUCACAGCCCCGUUGCAAUUGCCUUGGUGGACUCUGGCAGCGUUAUUGCUGUGUUGGCAGAUGACAAGGUUCUCAACUCAUCGUAGCAGUAUUUAGGAGGACAGCAAGUGUCUGUGCUGGAGAGCCUGUCUGCUGCCCACCUUUCCUCCAGACAGUGUGCAAAGGCCUGCCGGAGCUUAAAUAAAUACUAAUUUGCAGUAAUGGCAUUUAAUCCUCUUCAAACCAUAAUUUACAGUAUCAGAUUAUUAUCAUAAUAUCUGAUCUACUGUUCGUAAUGCUUUAUUGUUAUCCCAUUACAGGGAGUUCUGCUGGCACUGCAUAUUGUCUAUUUCUCUUACAAAUGUUCUACAGAAACCUUAUUAAUUAUUAGUCUCAUAAAACACCUGUUAAUGUUACCAUUUUAAUAAAUCUCCUCCUUAAUUAAAUUAGGUGGUUCUGAUAGUAAGCCUCUAAUGUCCAGUGCCUUUCUGUUCUCCUCACAGUCUGAUUGUAGAGUGGGAAGCAGUGUUCAAUUAUAAUUGAUGUAGGCCAUAAUUCAGAACCAAAUUAUAACAUAUAAAGCCAUAUGAUCAUUGAGGAAUAUAAUAGAUCUCCACACUGAAGUGUCAUUUGGAUUGAUUAGUGCUGUUUCUAGAGCCUUGUUAGAGGUGAGAAAAGGCUUAAUUCAAAAGGAUCUUUUUUUUUUUUUUUUUUUGCUUUUCUUUUUCUCUCUUUUUGUCUUAAAUUCAUGUACUCUAUUCCUUCCUUGAUACAUAGUAUCUAAUUCAGGCACUUUGGUGUACUGUUCACACCACCUACUUUCCCACUUUCGUUUCAGUUCUAAAGCUGACCUUUUUUUUUUAUUUUAUAAAGGCAGACUACAUGAUGAUUUUAUUUAAUGAUUUAAUAAAACUUUCCCUCCUGAGAAAGGUGCAAGAAAUCUUGCUGAUCUAUUACUGCUGCUAACCAAGCAUGAAAGUACCGUUAUAUAUGAUACAGCAAUACUAAAGCUAUAAGCAAAAAAUUAAAAGUACAUCAGAAUGAAGACCUUACCCUCCCUGGAAAGUUGAUGAGGCACCAGGAAGAUUUAGCACACUGGAGCAAACGUGCUGCUCACUUGGGUGCGGGUUGGUUCCCCUCUGCUAGGGAAGGUCUCAGGAGAAACCUGCCCUGGAAACCAUGCCGGUGCUCACCCAGAUCCUGUUCCCAUGUGGCCUCUGAGCACCUCUCAGCCUUGGCUGCUGCUUUUCAGCUUUGUCAGCAGAGAUGUGAUGUGUUUUAUGGGCUUAGCGAUGUUCUCUUAUCUUGCAGGAAACCCUAAAGCAAAGAGCAGAGCUUUUCCAGGACCGUGGUGAGAACUGGACUCUUAGCUCUCUAGGCUUUUUCUCUUACUGGGGAAAGUGUCUGUUUUACAUCACUUCCCUACCUGCCUCCCCUCCCGUUGUACUCGUUUGCCUUCCUCAUGACAGUUAUGGUCAUUUUUUGCUCAGGAAAGAAAUGCAGCAAAAUGUUAUGUGUGGUUUUAAUUGAUUUUAAUACAACUUAGAAGCUUAAGUUGUAGCAGUUCCCACUCAGGCUCCCCCGCUUUCCCUGGGCAUGUGUGUUUCCUCCCCUCCCACUCCUCCUUGCUUGUGGGCUUUGGUAUCCAGCCCCCUCAACAGGCUAUUGACUUCUUCUUGCCCAAUUUCAUUAGCGUGCAUCCCAUCUCUCCCCAGUAAUCCUUAGUUCUCAAAGAGGAGCCUGUGGUUGCAAUUUCUGAAUCAUUUGUGAAUCAAACGAAAGGAUACCAUGGCUACUUUGUAGGUGAGCUGACCCUUUAGAAACAUAACAACCACACCAAAACAACAACCCGAAAGUCUUUGCUUUUCUUUCUUUUAAAACUGAAUUACACACCAAAAACAUUUUGAAGAGAAAAAACUGCAAGCUUCAUUUGGGAGAUAUGAAAUAUUUUGACUUUUUAAAAAUGAAGGAUUUUGGUGUGUUUGGGCUACUUGCCGCGUGGUUUCCCACAGUGGAAAAAAAUAUUUUUCAUGUUUUUUUUUCCACGUUUGCACACAACUUGCUGAAAUUGUUGUUUUGAUGCCUUCUGCAGUAUUAGUCUUGAUUGUUCAUUUGCUCAGCCCCAGAUCUAUUGGCUUUGGGGUUUGCAUUCCUGCCCUAUGUGUAUCCACACUAUAUGCCCUUUCAGGCAGGGACUGAAUAGGGACAGAAGAUAAGGACUUCAAUCUGAAGUGAUUGAAAAGAAGAAAUAAGUGGAAAUCCAUGGAAAGCAACUGUAAAAUUUGGACUAUGAAAGGGUUGCAGGCCUGCAGGAAUUCGUCAGGAGCAGAUUCGGCAGCUGAGGCUUGUAAUGAGACAUCAGCUCCUGGUGCACACUGUGGAUCUUCCUGUGGGAACCAGACGAUGCCUGUUUGUCUGUCCCUUCCCAGCACUGAGCAGAAGAUCCCCCAUUCACUUGCUCACAAUGUGAUAAUUGACAGUGAGUUUCCUGGAGCUGAAUACUGCCUGCCCGAGGUCAGCGUCUGCUCUUCCAUCUUGCCUUCCUUUGGCGCCCGAUAUGAACCCCCAGCAUCAAGUGAUCGAGGGAGUCCUCCAAGCUAAGGAGCCUUUUUGUUGCUAAGAGACGACUUCUGGAGGAGCAACAGUCAUUAACACGUUGGGAGUGGGCAUUUUUUGAGCUGUCACACAUUCCUGCCAGGAGAAGAGAGGCAGGGCAUGGAGUCACUCUUGUCCCAAGCAUACUGCACUUCGUGCCUCACCCACCCCAAAUAAUUCUUUGGACCAUUUAACAUCAAUAAAAUCACACCUGUGGGCCCUUUGCAAAAAACAGUGUGUGACUUUUGCCCCUGGAGGCCUGAUCCUGCCCAGUACACCUUCCUGGCCAGGAGGAAGCUCCUUGACUGGUGGGCUGAGAGUGAUCCUGGCGAGCGGAAGGAUGUAUGUGAACUGGUACGCAAGCAGAAAAUGGACAAGGUUGAUGUGACUGACCUUCAGUGUUGAAGCCUGGUCUUUCCUGUCAUUCAAGAUGGCUAUACAGGAAGAAAAGUCCCAGGCUGGGAUCGUCCCUGGAGGAGAAGUUGCCUAUCUAUGGUCUCUGCCCUGGGCAGCUCCCUGCCACAGCUUGUCACCCUGCCUCUCGCUAGCAAGCUCCUGUGAAACCUUGAAAGCUGUGUCACCUCUCAGGAGUAGAGGUCCCGAGGCAGGCAAGGAAAGCUGUAAUUCCAGAUGUCUUCACAUCAGGCCAGCUGCUGUACACCUGUCCAGCAGCCCUUCAUGCCACUGGGAUCUGCUGCCAUCCAUCUCACCUGGCACAAAUCUCCUGAGGCAAACCACCUACUUAAACAAAUUUGAAGGGCUGCCCGUGAGCUCCUGCCAUCCUUUUGUGUCUCCCUGAGUGUCUGAGCUCCGAAACCGAAGAGAGCAGAGGGGCCAGAAGGAGCCCAGCCCACACCAGUAGAAGGGAGUGGAAGUGGUCCUGUUGGAUGAGGAGGAGACUUGCAGUGUCUGAUCCCUGGGAGCUGCCAUCAGCCCAUGGUUUUGUGGGUCUCGCCAUCCAUGUGAGAACAUGACGCUGCUCAAGGAGUGAGGCACAGGUGGGACUUUGGUGAUGAAAAAGCAAAACCACAGCAGUUAAGGUUUGUCAUGAGCAAAAUGCAGCCACCUGCAAGAGUGUCCAGAAGAUGAAAAGCUGGUGCAGAACGAGAGAGUCCUGCCAUGAAAUGCAAGUAAAUUAAUGGAUGGUUUUUAUUUUGAGUUUACUGAAACUUUCAAAAUUUCCAGUUCUGACAGGACUUCAAAUGGAAGUUCCAGUUGUCUCCUCCCCACUUCACUUUCUCCUCAAUCUCCUCUCUCCCUCUCACACCAUGUUUUUUUUGAUGUUAUUAACAUGUAAAUUAAGCUUAUUUAUAGAAAGUAACAUCUUGUCAAAUUGACAAGUGUUAUUUAUGACAAGAGUUUGGGCUAGGAGGUGUUUCUGUUUCCACAAUUGCUGUUGUUCCUGGGGAUGGAAACAUCACCUUGCACAGUGCUUAUCUGGGUGCUUGCAAUGCAUUUAGCCUCAGUUCACUCACAAAUACACAACUGGGACACCGUGCUGUGUGUAACCAUCAGUGUCUGUGCAGGGUCUCUCCAGGUCCUACCAAAGCUAGCAGAUGAUUCGCUUUGUUGCUGCUACUGGAAUCAAGUUUGAACCGGUGUGUUGCAUAGCAACCCUAAAUUAUUAUUUGAACCCUCAAAAAGGUAUUAAUGCAACUCAUGAAUAAACAGAGUUUGUCUCCCUCCUGUUUAUAUAUUUUUUUAAUGCCAUUCCCCAGCCGAGUGAAGGCUUUUGUCUUUCCAAACAAUAAAAUUCAAGUUAUUGCCAGAAGACUGGUAGCUCUUGUUCAGUGGCACAGUGGCUGUAAUUAGUCUUUUCCAGUGCAUUCUUAAAUUUCAAUUUAAGGAGGACUUGACUUUAGCUUUUUGCUCACUAUUCACAGCUGACCAGGCUCAGCUCCCACUUGUAAAAUGGGUUUCUUGCCAAGUGUUAGAAAAGGGAUGUGUUUCAGGUGUGGGUGUUUCCUAUGUGGAUCCUCAUUCUCAGAUGGAAAACACUUAGAGCUUGUCUGUCUUCACUUCUUCUAGGAAAAAUCAUGCCUGAAAGCAAGGGUUAUAUUUUGCCUUUUUCUCCUACUCUUUGAAAGCUGUCAGUACUAAUUUAAUUAGUUGGUGCAUAUAACAGUUUAUAAUUUCCAAGUCUAAUGUAUUAUAAUGUUGUUUAUGCCGAUUUGAUGAUUAAAGGCCUUGUCAGAGUCUUUUUAUCACCCUUAAAAAAAAAAAGCUUUUGUUGUUAUGCAAAUGAGACAUACCAGAUUAAGGAGGCUUAUUUUACCUGAACAGGUAGUUACAAUAAUUUUCUGUAAUCUUGUUGUCCUAUUUUCGUCUGCAGUGCCCUUGUCUUGCUCUGCAAGGUAACUCCUCACUGGGAGCAGCUCUGUCAUGUGGCACUGUGGCUCUGCCCAGCUCCUGUCCACCCACGCUCACUUUUCCGUGACCUGUGAGCCCUAUCCACCCUCAGAAGGUCCCUCCCCAGCUCUGUGCCUACUAAUGGGGACACUCAGAGCUUCUCCUGCAGCAUGACCCUCUUGCACAGAGUUCCUCAAGGAUGCUCCCAAUGCUCCAGUCCAACUGCGGGUCCCCAGGUUGUUCAGUGCAGGACCCAUGACCAGCUGGGAGCCCAUGCCUAAAUCACAGUGUGUCCAGAGGCAAAAAGCCCAGUUUGGAGGCUGAGGGAGCUCCUUGCCUCUCUGCUGACGUAGGCAGUGCCGGUGGGUAUGACCAUGCCCAGCAGAGAGGUGCUGCCAUCCUUGGGCUCAUGAGUCUUCCCAAGUUGCCCUUCCCAGAGACCAUGGAGCCUCCACCAGGAUUAAUUCCCCAGUCUCCUUGCAAGAAGGAACAUCUCCACUUUGCAGCAGAGUUGGACUGAAGAGCCAGUCAGAUCAUAACAGGGCCGCUCUCUCCUUGCCCUGAGCAGCGGCCAGGCAGGGAGACAGACUGUCUUAGUCUUGUUUGGCCUCUGCGGUGUGAUCUCUUCAGGACACUCAGCAGAUGCUGCAGUCUCCCAGAUGUGCGAGUUGGAGCUGUGCUGGCCCUUCCUCAAACCCUCGAGCAGCCCCGAGAGUGACCCCCUUCCCCACCAACACCUCCUGGGACCAGCAAAACCGGGGCUGUUUACCUGUCAGCAUGGUGGAGAUGACAAGAGCACCUUCAAUCGCACAAAGAUGCUGAGCCACCUGGAUUUUUGAGCUUACUGUGCAUAAAAAGGCUGUUUUCACAGAGAUCGCUGGUUAAACUUUCAAUGGAUAAGAAGAGCUGGAACUUAACUGAGGCCUCACAGACCAUUUCCAGUGCUUUUUUGCAAUGCUGCUUGAACCGAAGUUCAUGGCCACUGACAUCUGUGGGGCUCAGCUGUAAUCCGUCUUGCUCAAAUAAAUGGGAGGAAGCAGCUCGUGCCCUGGAGACCCUGCAGAUGAUGGGGAGCAUCAUCCCCUGGCCAUGCCGCUGCAGCUUAGCCCGCUUGCCUGUCUCCCCACCCCAGGUCUGUAACAAGGUGUGACAAAUAGGUGCCAUUACAGUCCUUAACCAACUGAGGAAGGUAGUGCCGCCAGUCCUGGGCCCUGUUUAGCAGCUCAGAGGAGACAGCAGCAUUUAGCAAACGCUGGAAGAAGCUCUACAUGCACCCGUGUACCGUCCUCACCUCUGCCAAGCCAUGGUGGGUGAUGUUCUCAAGUGAGAUCUAGGGCAGUUCAGUCCCCAAAUACUCAAGGAGAACUCAUCAUCUUCAGGAGAAAAGAAAAUACCACCUUAAAACUCAGUGCUGUUUCCCUUGAAGCCUGACAACUAACUAGCCGUCUGCACCGUGCUUAAUUCCCAGGGAGGCUCUAAAUCACCGCAAGCGCAGCAGCGCCGUGCAGCGUCCUCAUCCUCAUGGACCUGUCACCUGGCGGUGAGGCAGCCAAGAGGCGUAUGGAGACAUGGGCUCGUGCAAAAUGGGCAACCACGACAUGCUGAGAAGAUGCGAACAUCUGCACACCAGCACCAAAAUAUGCAGCCUACCCAGUCCUGGCUUUUCACUGAGUGGGAGUUCUUGAUUUUGGGACCUGCCACCCAGCAGGGGUGAGGAACAGGCGAAAUGUCACAGCCCUGACCAGAAGGACGUUGUUUACUAUCGCUACCCACUUCUGCACUGCUGACAGACAGGACUCAGACAGCAGAAGGGCUGGAGGAGGCUGCUCUUCUGCUGGAGCAGAUAGAAGUAAUUAGUGAAAUCACUGCGGCGCCGAGAGGGACGCUGGCCCAACUCCCAUCAGGCAGCAAAUGACUCAUUGCAUAACAACUUCAGUAAAGGGGGACUUUUUUUUUCCUCUCUUCUGCUCUCAGCAAGGAAACAAAGAGCUGAAUCUUUUGAAAGGCCACCAAAGCUCUUGUUUGGGGGCUUCACCUCACAGGUCUCCUAAGGCCACUUGAGAAAGUCAUCAGGGAAUAGAUGUCGUCAGCUGUCACCCCGGUAGGGAUGGAGACCAAAACCAUUGCUACCUCUUCAGGCAGCGUAGAAAUUGUGAUCAGCUGGUGAAUUGUUAGUCACCAGCCUGACUGACCCAUUUGCACCAUGUGUGGACCAACCAGUGCUGCAUCCUGCAGGAUUAAGGCAGCCCUGGAUGCUCACCCCCUCUGACCACCCAAGCCCUUGAACCCCUCCUUGUCCAUGCCAACCGUGGGGUAGCACACAGCAAGAACAUGACCAUCGUGCAGCCCUCAGGCUGGAAGAACUUUUUCCCAACAAGCAGAAGCAAAUAGAAAAGUGCUCUUCUGCUUUCUGCAUCACUUUCAAGCAAGUGGCAAGCAGUAAGCAUCGUGUUUCCUCACAGUUGGCCACUUCAGCUGAGUUUUGCCCACUGCUGUGCUUCACCAGAUACCCUUGCAAACAUCUUCUGCACUACAAGAGGUGGAGUUUGCCUGUCCCACCGUGUGCCCUUCCUUACCAGUUCAGAAAGCAGAUGAGAAAUAACUACAAGAAGAAUUAAGCUUGAAUGAGUGGAAGUUAGCGAAACAUGAGCCAUGCCUUGCUGGUCCUUCGCAAGAUCGCUUUGCCAGAGAAGAAAGAAAUGCCACAGUGUGACAGCUCCUCCUUCCCGGCCGGGCUGGCGGCAGGAAAGGCAAGGAAUGGGCCAGGGCACCUGCCGUGCCCGAAAGCAGCAGCCAGUGGAUUUAAAAGACUGCCAAGUGUCCGGAACUGCUGGUGCUCAGCUCAGCCCCAGCGUUGCCAGGGAAGGGACAAGCAGAGCUGGAUCUGGCCAACCCUUCGCCUUCUGCUGACGUGUCCUGUCUACAUGGGAAUCAGUGGCUGUCCUCGCUCCGUCGGCAGGGAAAGGAAAACCCCCAGCAGUGGAGGGAUUCACGUGGAAACACAAAGCAAACCCACGUCAGAGACCUGGGAAAUUCCUGCUCUUCUCCACCAUGUCAGAGUGUCUUGAAAGAUUUCCUUUCACAGCACUGGCUAUUUGCCCCCCGCCUUAAGGACAGGGUCUGCAGCCAGCCUGGUCUCCUCCCCACGUUUCAACCCUGAGCAUCCUUGGAGGACGCGCUAAGGACAGCUGGCCUGUGCAGCCAAAGUGACACAUGUCCAAAAGGAAGGGGCAAGCACAAGGGACACACCUGGAGGUAACCCAGGAGCAAGAGGAGCAGCUGAGGGCAGACCAGUGACUCCCACUGCUUGGCCCCUUGUCUCUGCAGUGCUGCCAGUCAGCUUGACCUCAAGGCCUUUUCAGCACCUAAGCCAUCAUCAGCUCCUAGAUGCCUAAACAGCCGGUUUUUGAGCUGCUUGAGGAGAGGAAUAUCUUGACGAAACUGGGCAGUGGCAGCAAAAAGUGAAGGUCCAAGGACAACUCGCCCAGGAGUCCCAUCUGGAGAAAGUGCCACCAGCGCUGCUGGCCUGUACGUUCAGAACCAGAUGCAGGAAUCGGACAAGGCUUUUCAGCUGCCACCAACUGCAGUGACAGCAAGAGCUGGGGAGUGGACAGGAGGACACAGAAAGCUGAGCCAGAAAUGAUUUAGGUUCUGGGACACAACCUCCAUCAGUUACACUCGGCUUUCCCCACUUCCCUCUCAUAUGGUGCGACACACAUGAAGUUAAUGACAAAUCAAGAAUAGAUCAGACUGAAAACACCUGGUAUUUUGACAGACAGCCCAGGGAUGCUUUGACAUCGUACUUAAGACUGACUGCUUUUCUAAUGGCACAGAAGUAUGACUUCAGUUAUGCAUUAAGUAGGAAAACUUCUACUGAAACUUGUGGAGUCUGGUUCUUUCUUCAGAAACAACAACACAGAGUGAAACCGCCUUUGAAGAGAAACAUUUUUCGUAUACCAUCUGAAGGAUGGAGGGACCUGGCAAUUAAAACAUGAUGAAGGGUGAUGGUUACUGGUUUAGAGUGGUAACACUAGUUAACUGGCUCUGAUGGAUUUAUGAUGAUAACACACGGUGCCAAGGUGAUUGAUAAGCAGAGUUCACCUUUGUGAGGUGAUGGUCAGAUACCUUGUGAGGCUCUGAUGCAAAGCUGGCUGUACCCCAGGAAGGAAGCAGUGCUUUUUGGUAUCUGUGCAGCAAUUCCUCGUGCAGAACACGGCUCGGGUGCUGGGAACUGUAGAACUCCAAAUUAGUUACCAUUUUAAAACUACCAAUACUUGUCCUGUUUUCACGAGAGAUGUGAUGCAGAAGCACCACUCCAGACAGGCAGGAUUUUCUGCUGCAAAGCUCAGCCCCAAAUUCUCUGAAGCCAAAUGUGAACCCAUUGACAGGAGUGUCUCAGAAGCACAAGCAUUAAAAGUUCUAAGGCAGUGAGGAUGCCCUGGCAGCAGAAUACCACCUUCUCUCACCGGAACUCGGAGCGACAGAAAAUCCUACACUGCACUCAUAGGGUGAGCACAAGAACAUGGGGGGAUGGAGGGUAGGAAGGGUACAAAGAUGGGAAAGGCAACCCAAACAUUCCCAGUUUUCAGAGAUAUAAAGUAAUUUUGUUUGCUUUCAGUUCAAUCAGUUCGUUCAUGCCUUAGGAAACAACGAGAUCAACAGAAAUGAAAGCAAUUUCCAGCAGAUAUGAAUAAAACACGUGGCUCAGCCGAGAAGAGGUUGUACAUUACUCCACACGCUCAGUCAAAUACUUGUGGAUUAAAUGCUGUGAGAAUGGAUCUAGCAUGGGAUUGUUUCAUCUCAAUUUGCCAGACUAGGAAUUUGCAGGUUUCCCACUCAUUCUUCAGGAGGGAGUUAUUGGGGAACAGGUUGUACAGUUGUGGAGGACUUGCAAAAUAAUUUGAUUCAUUUAGACACAAUCCAAAGUCAGAGCAGGGUACCUCGCAAGCAGAACUUCUACAAAAGAUCUACUGCUACAUGUUACUCUCCUUUCUUUAACUUUUUUUUUUUUUGUUUAAACUAGCCUUCAGGCAAAAUUCACAAAAAAUAUCACGUUCUCAGCCUGUUUCCAGGGUCGAGCCUGUGCACGUACUGAGGUGUGCAAAGGCACACAAGCUCUCCUCAUUCAUUCUGACCCGGUGGGAAUGCAAGAAGAGACACUGCUGUUCUGCUUAAAUGACUGGAAGCUUCUCUAAAAGCAAAAGCAGGCUGUUUCUAAUAACAAGUCAUCAAAGAUCUGCCUUUCUCCACCAGUGAUGUCAAUACAACAAUCUCUCACCAUCAAGAGAAACGUGAGUCAGGGCUCUCAUUAGAAUAGUUUCAUUAAACCCUCUUUAUUGUCCCAGAAGAUUCAGGAAAAGAAACAUUUCUUUCAUUGCUCAGCUACAACCAACUGUGACAUGACUGAUAAUUGACCUUGACAUUUGAGAACUUCAGAAGACAGCAAAUUACUAAGAAGACCUCUAAGUCAGGCAGGUGAAGAGAAGUCAAAUAGUGAAUAGCAAGAAGAGCAACACAGCCAACACUAUGUAAAUCAGGAAUUGUAUUUAAGCCAACAUAUUGCAUUAUGCAUGAAAAGGUCUGGGCUCAUCCACCUGACAUUCGGCAAGACAAGAAAUGGUUGAAAUUAGCACCUAUGCUGCCUUCAGAGGAGGAGUGGGCACCUGAGGGUCCCAUGGUCUUCACGGGCCACUGCACCCCCAGGUACAACAGUUGGGGUGCUUGGAAUUGCAUAGGAUGACCUUGGGCCAGUCUGGUUAGAUGUAGACACAGUGUGACAUCCGGGACAGUGUGACAUCUUUUGAAAGACAGAAUACAAUGUGCAAAAUUUUGCAACACGGAACUUACUGAACUAUGACAAAAAUGUCUACCAGCUCUCUCUUGGGAUUAAUUAAAAACAGAUGCUGGCUAGCCAAUGGCUGGGAUAACAAACUGCCUUUUGUUGUUGUCAGGCGGUUGGAGGGUACAACGAAUUCAAAUUAAAUGGCUUAGUUUAUGUGUGUGUGCUUUAAGAGAACUAACCUCUCACUGACUGCACUGAACUCAAGCAAAACUGCAGGGGAACGACUUGAGCUGCAAAUCCCUCUGGCCCAGGACCCAUCUCCAUCAGUCACCAGUGGUGGGUCCCACGGAAAGCGCAAAAUAACAGGUUCAGCAUACAUUGAUACUUCCCCAAACUCUUCUGCCAUUCUGGAUUUCUAUAACCAUGCUACUUUUAUAGGCCACUCUUAAAAGUCUAAAAGUAACUAAUAGUUAUUAUAUGUAUACUACAGACACGAGUGUCAUGCAUUAGACAUCGUCCUAAAUACAACAAAAGAAAGCUUUAGAAAUGAUGACAAGUCACGGCGAUAAUUGCUUUUUGAAGCUGUUGGGCUGUAUAAAAAUUGGGUCACUGAUGAACAAAUAUAUCACUGCUAACACUAAUAUAUUAACCUUUAAUUUAUAACUGGAACUCAAUAUGGAGUGUAGCCAAUUUGAUCUGCAAAAGGAGCUGUGAAUCUUACAAGGAAUGACUGAUAUUCUACAUCGCCAUUUCCCGAGCUCAGGUUCACAGGUUACUGACAGCCUGUGCAGCCCUUGCUGGAAACCUUAUCUGGUCCAUAGAGGCAUAAAGCCCACUGGGUAUUUUUAAUUUAAUGCUCUGUGAUAAGGCUGCAUGCUGCCCCUAAGAAAUUAUGAGAACUAACAGGUGGAUGCUGGCCCAAAAGACUGGGAAGCAGGAGUUCUGGAUUUAUACUGAGCCUACAUUCACUGUGUAACAUCUUGGCAAUUCAAAAUAAGAAUUAACCUGAAGUUUUGGUGAAAAAAAUGUUAACUUUGUUUCUACACAAAUCUUAUUCCAGGAGAAGUAAAAUAACAGAAAUACUUAACAUUUUUAAACCUGUGUAUUUUUUUGGUACAACAAUAAAAUAGCAUUCCUUUACGUUACAUAACUUAAGUGUCUGCCUAUCUUGUGAAUACACACACAGAGCAUUCUCAGGGCAGGGGGAAUCUCCUGUGAAUUAUUUGCUGCUUAUUUUA